rnacentral:lncRNA from 1 species
GGCCAAAGCAAGAGUGAAUACUGAAAAAAAAAUUUCAAGAGAUUCAAAAGUAAACUCGAGUCAAGCCAAUCUUACAUAUGACUGAUGAUGAGGUUUGAUCAGUUCUUCAUAACCUCCAUCAAGUUGGAGCUCAUAAUAUAAAGACUGAAUCAUAUAAUAACUAUACCUAAGGAUUCAUUCUUUCAUUCUAUUGAGUUACCACUACAUACUGCAAGAUAUCACUAGUGAAUUGUGGGAUUCAUCAGGACUCAUCUUGAUAAUCGAUGACCCUCGAAGGGUAG